rnacentral:rRNA from 1 species
GACGUAGGGCGCGAGCGUUGUCCGGAUUUAUUGGGCGUAAAGAGCUCGUAGGCGGUCUGUCGCGUCGGCUGUGAAAUCCCGAGGCUCAACCUCGGGUCUGCAGUCGAUACGGGCAAACUAGAGUAUUGCAGGGGAGACUGGAAUUCCUGGUGUAGCGGUGGAAUGCGCAGAUAUCAGGAGGAACACCGGUGGCGAAGGCGGUGCUCUGGGUCGGUACUGACGCUGAGGAGCGAAAGCGUGGGUAGCAAACAGG